rnacentral:rRNA from 1 species
CAAAAACAUAGCUUAAUGACUUCACCAUAUUAAGUUUAUCCUGCCCAGUGAAUAUUUAAACGGCCGCUUUUGUGCUAAGGUAGCAUAAUAAUUUGCCUUUUAAUUGAAGGCUAGAAUGAAUGGACAAAUAAAUUAAUACUUUAUUAUAACUAACCCUAAAAAUUAAAUUUAACGUGAAAAUUCGUUAUCACUCUAAAAAGACCAAAAGACCCUGGGAGCUUAAAUCUUAUAGUAUUUAUACUGCAAGAGAUUUUUGUUGGGGCGGCAAAGAAUAUACAUUCUUAUUCUCUUAUAAAUUUACCUAAAUUAAUUCUAAAUAAGCUACCCCAGGGAUAACAGGCUACUCUUUUUUAAAAGUCCACAUUUACAAAAAGAAAUAGCACCUCGAUGUUGGCUUAAGAAUAUGUAAAAUGUAGCAGUUUUACUGAAUGGCUUGUUCCGCCAAUAAUUUCUUACGUGAUCUGAG